CCUACGGGUGGCAGCAGUGAGGAAUAUUGGUCAAUGGACGAGAGUCUGAACCAGCCAAGUAGCGUGAAGGAUGACUGCCCUAUGGGUUGUAAACUUCUUUUAUAAAGGAAUAAAACGAGGCACGUGUGCCUUUUGGCAUGGACAUUAUGAAUAAGGAUGGGCUACCUCCGUGCCAGCAGCCGCGGUAAUACGGAGGAUCCGAUCGUUAUCCGGAUUUAUUGGGUUUAAUGGGAGCGUAGAGGGGUUGGUAAGUCAGUUGUGAAGUUUUGCGGCUCAACCGUAAAAUUGCAAUUGAUACUGGCAGUCUUGAGUACAGUUGAGGUAGGCGGACUUCGUGGUGUAGCGG
rnacentral:rRNA from 1 species